rnacentral:rRNA from 1 species
CUGAGAGGUGGUGCAUGGCCGUCGUCAGUUCGUACUGUGAAGCAUCCUGUUAAGUCCAGGCAACGAGCGAGACCCACGCCCACAGUUGCCAGCGUACUCUCUGGAGUGACGGGUACACUGUGGGGACCGCCGCUGCUAAAGCGGAGGAGGAAUGGGCAACGGUAGGUCAGUAUGCCCCGAAUAUCCCGGGCUACACGCGAGCUACAAUGGUUGGUACAAUGGGUAUCUACCCCGAAAGGGGACGGGAAUCUCCUAAAACCAAUCCUAGUUCGGAUUGAGGGCUGCAACUCGCCCUCAUGAAGCUGGAAUCCGUAGUAAUCGCGUUUCAACAGAACGCGGUGAAUACGUCCCUGCUCCUU